GGACGAAAGCGAACGAUAGUUGUUGCAUCCCCUACGAGAGUCUAGUCUGUGACGUCAGAGUAAACAAGAUGGUGGACACAAGAGCGUGCCAGAAACCUGUCUCCAGGUUCUGAGUGGUCCAAUUUUGAUCAGUUGACCCAAAUGCAUAUCAAAAAAAUGCCUGAACACUCGAACACUUUUCGAGGGAUCCGUUCCUCUAAGUUCCGGCACGUAUUUGGGAGAGGAAGUAGGAAGGAAAACUGUUACGAGAAUGUGCUCAUCACGCAAAAGACCCACGACACAGCAGCCUGUGCUGUCAACCCGAAAUUUGUGGCCAUUGUUGUGGAAGUUGCAGGGGGUGGUGCCUUCUUGGUUUUACCACUAGACAAGGUGAGUCGAAAGGCCAGUCUGCAAAU